UACGUAGGGUGCAAGCGUUAAUCGGAAUUACUGGGCGUAAAGCGUGCGCAGGCGGUUAUGUAAGACAGGUGUGAAAUCCCCGGGCUUAACCUGGGAACUGCAUUUGUGACUGCAUAGCUAGAGUACGGUAGAGGGGGAUGGAAUUCCGCGUGUAGCAGUGAAAUGCGUAGAUAUGCGGAGGAACACCGGUGGCGAAGGCGGCAUCCUGGACCGAUACUGACGCUGAGGAGCGAAAGCUAGGGGAGCAAACGGG
rnacentral:rRNA from 1 species